AUGUUGGUGGUAGAGUGGUGAACGUAACUGCCUUCCAAGCAGUUGACCUGGGUUUGAUUCCCAGCCAACACA